GGAUGGUUCGCAUAGCGGUCUAGUGCGCUACCUUGGAAAGGUAGUAAGGGGGAAACUCCUUCACAGGUUCAAAUCCUGUACCAUCCG
rnacentral:tRNA from 1 species